rnacentral:rRNA from 1 species
GACGAACGCUGGCGGCGUGCUUAACACAUGCAAGUCGAACGGAAAGGCCCUGCUUUUGUUGCUUGCUCGAUUGGCGAACGGGUGAGUAACACGUGAGUAAACUGCCCUUGUCUUUGGGAUAACUUCACGAAAAUGGGGCGAAUAUCGCAUAUGAUCUCCUGCUGCAUGUUGGUGGUUGGUAAGUUUCGGCGGUUGGGGAUGGACUCGCGGCUUAUCAGCUGGUUUGUGGGGUAGUGGCUUACGAAGGCUUUGACGGGUAGCCGGCAUGAGAGGGUGACCGGCCACAUUGGGACUACGAUAGGGACCAGAAUGGUACGGGACGCAACAGUGGAGAGUCUUGCAGAACGGGCGGACGCGUGAUGUAGAAACGCCGCGUGCGGAAUGACGGCUUUUGGGGUGUAAACAGAUUUGGAAUGUGCCGAAGCGUGCGUGACGGUAAUGGGUCAAAAAGCACCGGCUAACUACGUG